GGCCGGACUGGGCAGCGUGGUCCGGCAGGCGGCCGCUCGCGCCGACCGGGAGGAUCCGGCGGAGAUCCGGGCCGAGACGUUCGGCCUGUACCUCGGCCA
rnacentral:tRNA from 1 species